GCAAUCGUGGCCGAGUGGUUAAGGCGAUGGACUAGAAGUCCAUUGGGGUCUCUCCGCACAAGUCGACGAAUCCUGUCGACUGCG
rfam:Ixodes scapularis strain Wikel colony gcontig_1108378331180, whole genome shotgun sequence.